rnacentral:rRNA from 1 species
AGAGUUUGAUCAUGGCUCAGAAUGAACGUUGGCGGCGUGGAUUAGGCAUGCAAGUCGAGCGAGAAUCCCCGCAAGGGGAGGAAAGCGGCGAAAGGGAGAGGAACACGUGGAUCAUCUACCCUUGGGACCGGGAUAGCCACGGGAAACUGUGGGUAAUACCGGAUGAUAUCUUCGGAUCAAAUGGUGUGAUUCCGCCCAGGGAUGAGUCCGCGUCCUAUUAGCUAGUUGGUAGGGUAACGGCCUACCAAGGCCAUGAUGGGUAGCGGGUGUGAGAGCAUGGCCCGCCUCACUGGGACUGAGACACUGCCCAGACACCUACGGGUGGCUGCAGUCGAGGAUCUUCGGCAAUGGGCGCAAGCCUGACCGAGCGACGCCGCGUGCGGGAUGAAGGCCUUCGGGUUGUAAACCGCUGUCGGAGGGGAGGAAAUAUUAGGGGGUUCUCCCCCUAGUUUGACCUAUCCUCGGAGGAAGUACGGGCUAAGUUCGUGCCAGCAGCCGCGGUAAGACGAACCGUACGAACGUUAUUCGGAAUCACUGGGCUUAAAGGGUGCGUAGGCGGCGCAGAAAGUUGGGUGUGAAAGCCCUCGGCUUAACCGAGGAAUUGCGCCCAAAACUACUGUGCUUGAGGGAGACAGAGGUGAGCGGAACUUAGGGUGGAGCGGUGAAAUGCGUUGAUAUCCUAAGGAACACCAGUGGCGAAAGCGGCUCACUGGGUCUCUUCUGACGCUGAGGCACGAAAGCUAGGGGAGCGAACGGGAUUAGAUACCCCCGUAGUCC